rnacentral:lncRNA from 1 species
AAGCUUGAAUACAAUUUUUCUUACGGGAAUAAUCCCCGGUGGCAUGAUAUAUCACUAACUGGUUUAUCCUUGGAAAUACAAUGGGGUCCCCCAUUCUAACCUCUAUCAGGCCCAUCAUGGUUGAAACUAAGUCUGGUGAAAGAGGGGCUAGAUUGUGCUAGGGGUGGACCGGAUGGCCCUGUGGUGGUAAUGGAUGACACGGGAGAGGCACCGGAUUAUACUGUGGUGGUGCUGGGUGAUGCGGUUGGGGCACUGGACCAUAUUGUGAGAUGUCAGAUGAUACACCGGAGACGGAGGGUUGCAUCGAGGUAGUAUUAGAUCCUCUUGAAAUGCCCCGUCUCAGGCUGCCCUGUUCCAUAAGGGGCCUCAUCAUCUUGUGUCUCCGUACAUUAUGUUUCACAACGAACAAUUUAGUGAUGAUUUAUUAUUUUUGGUAUUUCCUAAGGGUUUUGUGUAAGGGACGGGUCCGAGGAAUGCAGCUCUGAU